UAGGGAAUCUUCCACAAUGGACGCAAGUCUGAUGGAGCAACGCCGCGUGAGUGAAGAAGGUCUUCGGAUCGUAAAACUCUGUUGUUAGAGAAGAACACGAGUGAGAGUAACUGUUCAUACGUUGACGGUAUUUAACCAGAAAGUCACGGCUAACUACGUACCAG
rnacentral:rRNA from 1 species